rfam:Triticum aestivum genome assembly, contig: Triticum_aestivum_CS42_TGACv1_scaffold_470869_6AL
CAUAUACUCCCUCCGUCCCAAAUUACUUGUCUUAGAUUUGUCUAGAUAUGGAUGUAUCUAGACACGCUUUAGUGUUACACACAUCCGUAUUUAGACAAAUCUAAGAUAAGUAUUUAGUACGGAGGUAAUAUAAU